AGUGGGGGAUAACGUAGCGAAAGUUACGCUAAUACCGCAUAUGCCCCGAGGGGGAAAGGAGGGGAUCGCAAGACCUUUCGCUUUCGGAGUGGCCGAUAUCGGAUCAGCUAGUAGGUGAGGUAAAGGCUCACCUAGGCGACGAUCCGUAGCUGGUCUGAGAGGACGACCAGCCACACUGGGACUGAGACACGGCCCAGACUCCUACGGGAGGCAGCAGUGGGGAAUUUUGGACAAUGGGCGCAAGCCUGAUCCAGCCAUGCCGCGUGAGUGAAGAAGGCCUUCGGGUUGUAAAGCUCUUUCAGCUGGAAAGAAAUCGUAUCUACUAAUACUAGGUGCGGAUGACGGUACCAGCAGAAGAAGCACCGGCUAACUACGUGCCAGCAGCCGCGGUAAUACGUAGGGUGCGAGCGUUAAUCGGAAUUACUGGGCGUAAAGCGUGCGCAGGCGGCUUUUUAAGCCAGAUGUGAAAUCCCCGGGCUUAACCUGGGAACUGCAUUUGGAACUGGAGGGCUAGAGUGUAGAAGAGGGGGGUAGAAUUCCA
rnacentral:rRNA from 1 species